ACAUGAUGUCAUUUCCUCCUGAAGAAAAGACUGGCCAGACUCCAAGGUGGCGGAUGGAGGAGUUCUGGGUGGACAGGGUGCUGGACAGCAGCGGCAUGAGGCUCCUGAAUCCUUCCCUCAGCUCCUCCACGUGCUUCUCCAGGCUGUGGAUGUGAGUGUCCAGCUCCCCCCGGCAGCCCUGCACCUCGGCCAGCAUGUCGUACAUCAGGCUCUGCAUCUGCGUGUACGGACGCAGAAAGAAGCGAGAUAAAGGAUCUGAUUAGUCGAGUCAAAACAAUGGCGAAGGUUGACCAAAGUGCUUUACAGUUCAAUAAUAGAAAACAAGACAUAAUCUGUGAGGAAAUAUACAGAGCUAGAUGAACAAUGACAUAUAUUAGCUAUAAUUGAAAGCCAGGGAGUACAUGUGUGUCUUCAGCAGGCACUUGAAGAUAUCAAGAGACUGAACAGUUCUAAUUGGAACAGGUAAGCGGUUCCACAGACAGCCACAGAAAACCUGUUUCUGAACCUGGAUCUGGGAACUUUAAGGACCAUCUGAUUGGCCGACUUCAGCGAUAAAACUGGAGCAUGGACAGCUAAAAGCUCAAAUGAAUAAGAACCCAUUUAACACCUUAAAAAAAUGUAGAAAAUAAAGAUCAGACGCUGCUCUGUUGAUGCCUUCGCUUCUGUCUCUCACCUUGUUCAGGUCCACCAUCGUGUUCCCCUGAUCGGCGAGUAUCCUCUUCUCGAUCUUCACCCUCCGCAGCCUGGAUGCAGAAAUAUUCAGUUUUAUGACACAUUUACUGAAAAAUUAUAAAGGUCUAAUGCGUACACGUGACCAAAAACAACCCAUGAAUGCAACACACUCAGCGGUUUUCAUGGGGGAAGUUUAGUAUCAAGUCCUGACAGUAAAUACGUUUACAGGGAACUCUGUGGAUUAAGCAGAAAAAACACAUUCAGUUUUAUGUCUUCAUUCAGUUAAAAUAAACCAAAUUUUUGGCCCCUGGCGAAAUUAAAGGCUAAUAGUGACAC
ensembl:lncRNA